GACGAACGCUGGCGGCAUGCUUAACACAUGCAAGUCGAACGGAACGGCCCUGCUUUUGUGGGGUGCUCGGGUGGCGAACGGGUGAGUAACACGUGAGUAACCUGCCCUUGACUUUGGGAUAAAUUCAUGAAACAGGGGCUCAUACCGGAUAGGAGCUCCUGCUGCAUGGUGGGGUUGCGUAGGUUUGGCGGGUUGGGGUGGACUGGGCGCGUCUCAGCUUGGUGGUGGGGUAGUGGCUUACCAAGGCUUUGCCGGGUAGCCUGCCUGAGAGGGUGACAGGCCACAUUGGGUCUGAGAUACGGCCCAGACUCCAACGGGAGGCAGCAGUGGGGAAUAUUGCACAAUGGGCGGAAGCCUGAUGCAGCAACGCCGCGUGCGGGAUGACGGCCUGCGGGUUGUAAACCGCUUUCGUCUGUGACGAAGCGUGAGUGACGGUAAUGGGUAAAGAAGCACCGGCUAACUACGUG
rnacentral:rRNA from 1 species